AGCAUAUACAUUGCGCCCUAAGUCCAGUCUCGCCCAGGUGUGGCAGGAGCUUUUACCUGCUCUUCGGCAGUAGCCGGCUGCCACUCAACCCCAUGCCUGACUGAGCUGUGGUAGAAGGAUUGAGGCCAGCACAGAGGAGGAUCAGCAGGAAAUGGUUGUCCUCAUCUAAUCCGUCAGUACCAGACAGUGAACAUCUCUCCCCCAGGAUGCUGAGGGAGGGUCCUGGAGGGAAGGAUGUGGAACUACAGCCUCUGCUCUCAAGAAGCUCAGAUCUGGGCAGGGAACAUCACAUACCAGGGCUGUCUGUCGGGGGGGUGGAGGGCUGGGGGAGGGAUAGCAUUAGGGGAAAUACCUAAUGUAAAUGACAAGUUGAUGGGUGCAGCAAACCAACAUGGCACAUGUAUACCUAUGUAACAAAUCUGCAUGUUGUGCACGUGUACCCUAGAACUUAAAGUAUAAUUAAAAAAAAAAAAAGCUUCAGAUCCCUCCUGGAGCCUCCUAUGAA
rnacentral:lncRNA from 1 species